CCAAUCAAAUCUGAUCUAUCUUUAACGCUUAGCUUCUUCAUUUCUUUCAUAGCAGCACUAUAGCAGGGAUGGUUCAAUCAAGAUCGGCGAUGGAUGUGUUUUAGUAUAUAUAUACUAUUUUUACUCGUCCUAUAUCUUGUUGAUGAUACCCAUUCAUUACUGUGUUGUUGGAUUUUGGUUUGAUUUGAUAUUUGUAUGUGUGUGUGUGUAUGCUUGUCCUAAGAGUAAUGUAAAGCACACUUAAGACUGAAAGAUGGGAGUUGGAGAAAGGGCCUUUGUAGUGAGUAAACUGACUUUCCUGUAAUGCAAGCAUCUGCUCCUAAGAAUUUGAGGCAAAAAAGGUUUUGCUACUACUAGACACUCCACUAAAUAUGCUUGUUAGGUGAGCAAGGGGCCUAUGCAGAACUAUCAAUAGCUGUUAUCUGACCUCCUUAUUAAUCAAUACUCCUAGCGACCGGAUAGGACACUCUAUGUACUUCCUAGGAGCCUUUAUCACUUUCGAACCUCUAGUCUUCUUUGGAAACUGUUUUUAAACUGAGAAAGAAAGUCCAUUCUGUAGCCUCAACCAAUUCUUUUAGGAUUCAUUUGACAAGUGGAAGAAACCAUUUGGUGCUACUAUACGAACACUUAAUACUUUUAGCCCAAAUAUAUUCCCUUCUGGAGGCUGCAAUACUUGUAAAUUUUAGUUUUCAUGGCACUAAAUAUUCUAUUUCCAGGGAAUUUGAAUUUUUUGAAAAAGGUUCCCACUUUAUGGAGAUAAUUUCUUCCUCACAUGAAGGCUUCUCUUCUUUGUAACAGUUCGAUCUAAAUCCCUUAUGACCUUUUUGAUAAUACAGAUGCAGAUGCACUUUUAAGGAAACUUCUAGCAGUCCAAAGCGUUCUUUUAUUUCAUAAAAGUAAGAAGACCUUAGUACGAUGAUGCAGCUGAAAACCUAUUCCCUCUAGAUUUGCUUGAAAUGCUUCAAGUCAUAUAAGAUGUAAAACUGUGAGUUACGUUGAUCUUCUUUCUAAGCUGCCAUAAUUACGGAGUGCUGCUUCGUCUGUUAAGCUUGCCCGUAUGUAUACAAGAAGCAUACCAAAAGUGAAUAGUCACCUAUUUUUGCACUAAACUAAAGUUUUAUUGGAAAUCCCUGCUUUAGCCAUUCUGAUGACACAGUAGAAACAGUUUCAACUGCUUUUAAAUUAUACCCGCAAUAGCUGAAAACAGGAGGAUCUCACUGUUGAUAUUAGUAUCCUUUGCAGAAGGCUGUAACUCCCCGUUACGCGUAGGCGUAACCCUGGCCUUUGCUCACACAAGUGGACUAGCUUUUGAUAAUCUGGCGUUGUUCAGUCCCACAGGGACCAAGUAAACUGCAUCUUCGAAAGAUAUAUUUUUGUUCAGUCCCACAGGGACCAAGUAAACUGAAUACAAUGAUAUUUUUGUUAGCAAUGAUGAAUAUUGCAUUUGCUGAA